rnacentral:tRNA from 1 species
CGCGGGGUGGGGCAGCACGGUAGCUCGUCGGGCUCUGCAUAACCCGAAGGUCGUCGGUUCAAAUCCGGCCCCCGCAACCA